GCUGUUUAUUCCCAGUUCCGUCCCAGUGCUCCCAGUAAGAGCGGUCCUAGCACGGAAAGCGCUCCCAAUUCCUUCCGGGUUCUCUCAGGAUCGCUUCGAGUGCUCCCAGUAUUGGUUCCAGCACUGUGCAGGGCACGGCCACUUUGGAACCCCCCAGGGCAGAGCACGGCUGCUUUUCAGUGUCGGCACCGACCUGGGCCGGGCUGGGAGCGGAGGAGGGGGAGGAAGGAAAGAGGAGCGGGAAGAACAAGAAGGGGAAAGUCAGGAACAUGAGGAAGAGGAGCUGCAAGAGAAAGAGCAGCAGCAGAACCACUCGGCUCCCCCGCCCGCCCGCUCAGGCUGCAGUUCCCCCAACUCUGGCAGCAUCACCCUGCCCCCCCGGAACCCACAGGAUUUCCCAUUCCCAAAUCAUGGUCAGAUGGAGGAGGAGGCCGUGAGGAAGAUGGCCCAGAAGCCCUAUGCAGACAAGGAGCUGAGGAUGGAGACCAGGGAGGACAAAUCCCCACAGCUGAACCUUAUGGAAAAGGCAUUUUAAACCAGCUCCAUGGUGCAGGAAUCCAAGGAGGAGGAAAAGCCCCAGAGAUCCCUCAUGAGGGGUUACAAAUGCAGAUCACGGUGAUCCAAAGCAGAAAGACCCACUCCGGGCCAGGGAGGUGGCCAGAGAUGCUGCUGGAGCUUAGAGCUGAGAGUCCAUGAGCAGCUUCAUGAUGGGGAGAAGCCCCACAAGUGCUCAGAAUGUGGGAAGAGCUUCAGCAAGUGAUCCUACCUGAUCCAACACUGGAGAAUCCACAUGAGGGAACAGCCCUAUGAGUGUGGGGAGUGUGGGAAGGGCUUCAAGACAAGCUCUGACCUGACUGCCCACCAGAUGAGCCACACAAAGCAGAGGCGUGCCGAUUGUGAGGAAUGCAGGAAGACAUUUAAGACUAGCUCCAGUCUCCUCAGGCAUCAGCAGAUUCAGAGGAGAGGCCCUUCCACUGACCCAACAAUGGGAAUGGCUUCAACCAAAACUCCACUGUCGUCACCCACCAGCGCAUAUAUACUAGGACGAGGCCCUACGAGUGUCCCAAAUGUGUGAAGUCCUGUUCCAGAAGCUCUCACUUUACCCUACACCAAUGAAGGCACCACUAAGGGAAGCCCUGCAAAUCAAGUGCAGGAAGAGCUUCAUGUGCUGCUCCAGCUCCAUCCCCCGUGGCAGGAUCUGUGCUGGAUGUUCCUGUGGCCCCCAGUGGGCAGAGCAUUGCUGGUCCAUGGUGCCCGUGAUCUAUGUUAGAAAUACACCUGGCUGGGUGGCUCCACAUCCUCCUGGCUCCCCAUGGGCACCUGGACAUAUCCACAGAUCAACAUCAGAAAUCCAUUGUGAAGAGCACGUUUGUCGACUUCUGACCCGAGAAAAAUCUCACUCUUUGCAUCUUCUGGUGGUAUCAAGCAACACUGAAUGGCCUUGGAGGUCUUCUCCAAUAGAAAUCCAUCAUUUUAAUCCUUUCUGGCUCAUGGGCAUCUUCCACAGCCAAAUGGGAACAUACUGGGGCAAACCCCACAAUUUUGGAGAUGGUGGGGUGGAAACCCCUUCAAAAAGGGUUCUUCCCACCCAGCCAAGCAUGUGGAUGCUUUGCCAGCAGGGACACAUAAAUUCUUUUGUUUUGGCCUUGAAACGGUUUCUGUUCAUUCCUUUGAAAGCCCUGUAACUGGGGUUAAAAAUAACGACAAGGAACUAAGACAUGGGUGGGGCCAUGGGGGGAGAUGGAUGAGGAUGUGAGGAACAUGGAUGGGGACAUUGCGAAGUGCUGUCCAAUGCAGGUACUGCCACCACAUCCCCACUAUCACCACCACAGUGCACCAGCCAGAUGUCAUCACCCAGCAGGGCAGGAGGUGGAACUUGUUCGGCUGUUGACAAGUGGCCCGGAGGUGAGUGACAGUCACCAGGGCGUCCUAGGGACUCCACGCUCAGAGGACCCCAAUGGCCCAAGGUACAGCACAAGGGUCAGUGCCACCCACAGUGUCAUGUGGCCCCAUGCUACAUGUCACCAGGGGUGUCCUGGUGACAUUGUCCCCCUGCUAUCUGUCCUGGUGGCAUCAUGUCCUUUCCCCUCUGU